AGCGAACGCUGGCGGCAGGCCUAACACAUGCAAGUCGAGCGCCCAGCAAUGGGAGCGGCAGACGGGAUAGUAACACGUGGGAACGUACCUUUCAGUUCGGAACAACCCAGGGAAACUUGGGCUAAUACCGAAUACGUCCGUAAGGAGAAAGAUUUAUCGCUGAAAGAUCGGCCCGCGUCUGAUUAGCUAGUUGGUGAGGUAAUGGCUCACCAAGGCGACGAUCAGUAGCUGGUCUGAGAGGAUGAUCAGCAUCACUGGGACUGAGACACGGCCCAAACUCCUACGGGAGGCAGCAGUGGGGAAUAUUGGACAAUGGGCGCAAGCCUGAUCCAGCCAUGCCGCGUGAGUGAUGAAGGCCCUAGGGUUGUAAAGCUCUUUUACCCGGGAAGAUAAUGACUGUACCGGGAGAA
rnacentral:rRNA from 1 species